CUUCCUGGUCCCUGGCUUUGCCUUUUCCGCUGAGCUGAUGCUUGGAAUGUACCCGGUGCCUGCAAUGUGACUCUUUUUCUUUUUCCCAAGACAGAGUUUCUCUGUCCUGGAGCCCUCUCUGGAGACCAGGCUGGCCUCCAACUCAGAGAUCCUCCUGCCUCUGCCUCUCGAGUUCUGGGACCGCCAUCUGACUGUGACUCUCUCUGUUCUUGGCAGUCAGAAAGUACUUCAGCGUUGCAGCUCACAGAGGAAAUGAGCUAUGCAGAGGGAACUGGGAAGACCAUCGGGAGGAGACCACUGAAGGGGACCCUAGCCUGACAUUUCAGAAAGUAGAUAUCUGUCCCUCCUGACUGGAAUGCCCUCUCAUGCCAUGGAGCACUCUCUUCAGGGAAUCUUGGGUUCUUUCUCCAUGUCACUUCAUUCACACGUCCAGUCCUUGCCCAGGAAGGCUGCUGCGGCUCAAGCCAUCACAUCCACACCCCAGCUGCAGAAGGAGUUAGAGAAGCUGCUCCUGAGGGGCAUGCCUGUGAGACUGUACACACCGCAUCCUCCCACUUACACUUCUUUGGCCAGAAGACAGCUGGACUUUGCGAGGAAGACUAGUCUUUAUUUUGGGAGUCCACAUGUUUGGUUCACAGGACAUAACAUGGUAUUGGAGUCACCACGGAAACCAAGGGUCAUCACUCUGUUCUCAGCUCACAAGGCUUCUUCUUUUUCUGUCUCUCCAUACUAGUUUUUAAACCAAGGUAAGAUUUUUUAUACAGUUGGAUGUGCAGAUUUUAAGACUAUAAUUUGCUGAGUCUGGCCCAGUGUAUCUUCCCACGAUCUCUAUUGAGGCAUAAGACAUUUAUUUCCAUUACCCCAGAAAGUGCCCCCUCCUUGAAAAGCAACUAUGAUGGGAUUGUGGUCACCAUCAGGGGCUUUGGCCAGAUUUUGUCCUUUAUGUAAGCCGAGUCCUCUACAGGGUGUAUUCUCUUGGGUCUAGCUUCUCCCCUCAGCCCACCAGUCUCAAAGUUUAUCCACGAGGGAGAACAGACCAGCAGCUGCUGCCAUGUCCUGUGGCCCACUGCGGUUGACCUGUUCUGUUCCUGGGUUUGUUAGUUAUUUUAUUUCCAGCUUUGGUUAUUCUAACUACAAUUGUUAUAAAUGUGUAUCUAUGUAGUACACAUAUGCACACAUAUAUGUUUUUUUGUAGAUAUUUGCUUUCAUUUCUCUUGGAUAAGUGUAUAAUCACUAGUUUGUAUGGUAGGUAUGCAUUUUACUCUAUAAGAAAUCAUGACAGGAUAAGACAGGGCAAGGGUUCCUCCAUCUUAUACUCUGGUUGACGCCAUUCCAGGUUUAACUAGAAUUUGAUCUCCUUGAAGAGAAGCCCUGUGGGAAAUUACCCAGCUCUACUCUAGGAACCAAAGGGCAAGAGGCCCAAGCUAACUUAUUUCAGCUUCUGUUAAACUGCUUGCUUGUGCAAACUUCCACAUCCAGCUACAGAGUGUGAUGCCAGGAUGUGGUUUCUGUCUUUAAAAUCUCCCUUGUCUAAAUGCUCAGCGCUACACUUGGGUUUCCAAAUACCUGAGUGUAGCCCCAGCUGGCUGGAAUAAAUACUUUCAACCGGCUAUAAA